rnacentral:rRNA from 1 species
UACGAAGGACCCGAGCGUUAUCCGGAUUUAUUGGGUUUAAAGGGUGCGUAGGCGGACUUAUAAGUCAGUGGUGAAAUCUCCCAGCUCAACUGGGAAACUGCCAUUGAAACUAUUUGUCUUGAGUACAUUUGAGGCGGGCGGAAUGUGUCAUGUAGAGGUGAAAUUCUUAGAUAUGACACAGAACACCAAUUGCGAAGGCAGCUCGCUAAACUGUAACUGACGCUGAGGCACGAAAGCGUGGGGAUCAAACAGGAUUAGAUACCCUGGUAGUCCACGCCCUAAACGAUGAUUACUCGAAGUGUGCGAUACACAGCACGCCUCUGAGCGAAAGCAUUAAGUAAUCCACUUGGGAAGUACGGCCGCAAGGCUGAAACUCAAAG